ACAGCCUAGCACCUAGGGCAAAAAUAGCACGCCCGCAUAACACCUAAUCUAUCAUCUCCAUGCUCUCGCUGCAGCCAAGCCGGGCGAUGAAGUCGCCGGCGAGAUGGAUUAAGCCUCUCCUUGGGCUAAUCAUGUACCCUCAACGUCAACCCGUAUAUAGCUCCUCUCCCAUGAUGCCUCCUCUCUGUUGUUGACGUCUUCUACACUACGAUCGGUAGCGGGGUAAAAGGCGUACAGAUCUCAAGGGAAGAUGAAUGCCUAACUUAGCCGUGGGCUCUGGCUGAAGCGCAAGUUGAUCCGACAUUAUCUGACUCACGUAUCGUCGUGCUGAUCAUUUUUUUGAAGGUAAGCACCCGUCCAAUUUUUGGAUCAUGGAUGCAUGAUAAAUCAAUCCAUAUAUUCCAAAGAAAGGGAAGGGAAAGGAUAAAGUGGUUACAAAGUACAUCCACGAGAACCGAAUCUGAAGCCAAGGUGUAAACCUUGCCCUGUUCCAUAGUAGCCGGAUGCAGGCUCAAGCCUCAGGAGGAUCACCGGGCAUGCGUACUGUCUGCAGAUCAAUAUGCAUGCAACAUACGUAAGAGAUAGGUUAGUUACAUCAGAUGCAUAAUGUAUUAGACCCCCAACAGCCGUCAGGAUCUUCAAAACAGCGAGGCGAGGUCUCAGGGAUUCGGGCAAGAAGACACAUACGCUGACCAAGCAAAGGAAGCUCAGUAGCAUAUUCGUACGGUCAUUGGACUGCUACCUUAUUAUUUCUGGUUGAGAGAGAGUAGGGGUUGAAGACGACGUCUCGGCCGUGCUGCCUCACUUGGGACAAUGCCAUCCCAUUACAUAAGCAAACUUUACCAAAACCUACUCUUCUGGACAAUGGUGCAAGUACAUUAUGCAGAAAAAAAGCUCUGAAGCUGGAUGAUGGAUUGCCCAGCCAAUGCUUUUUUGCCAUGGAUCAGAUGGUAUAUACGCACAAUCCGGAAGCAUGUUGAUUACUUCCUAACAUUGGCUGGAUGCACACGUACUGACGUACAAGAGGACUUGAUGGAAUCUUACCGGAUGGAAAAACACCCACAAGCAAAACAUGCACGUGAGUGGAUUUGAUUGCAAAAGAAUCAUUUAGUGAUUUACACUAACGUAGGCUACCUAAAUACACUCCUAAUCGUUGAUUAUUUUAAUGUCACAGCUGGACAGGAAACCACACAUCGUGGUUAAUUCCAGCAUGCUCCAUCUCACGUUGUCCAUGUAGGUGUAGUUGGGAUGUGUUCUUUGUUUACAGAUUUGUUUGGAUGUGUUCUAACUCUACUUACUUUGUACAGCUUGCAUAUGAUUUUUCAGACCAUAUUACCUCAAUAUGAAAUUUAAGAUAUGUGGUUUGGAAGUAGAUAUUACAAUUAGGACUAAUUGUAUUGGUAUAUGUAUUUUCUUUGAAAUAAAACAAUAUAUCAGUACUAGAAAUUUAUGAUGUGAUGGUUCAUGUACACGCUGACCCAUUGUUUAGGUGACUUCAGCCUUCCGGAUUUGAGUUAGGAAAAGGACAUGAUUGUCCUGUUGAAUUCGGGAUCACCAUGAGUGAUUAAUCAAAAUGCAAUACUGAUAACCAUAAGAAAUAUGUUACUACAAAAAUCAGAAAUAUCUAUCCGUUUAUUUAACAGAGUAAAGUUUCAUGGCCAUUAAAUAGGAUAUAUAUAUAUAAGUGAACAAAAUUUACCUACCAAUGCCAUUAUAAUCGUAAUAGCACCAACAUGUUUUAUUUGGCAAUUUUUGUUUUUGAAAAGGUGGAUCUAUAUGGCUGUCAAAAAAGAUGGGUUAACUAAAAAAAGAUGGGUCUAUAUCGCUACACUUUUGCCUUGCCCUAGAGGCGAGCCGCCAAAUUGCUCUUGCCCUGUUGCUUUGUUGAUGUCGUCGUCUGACUGCUGAGGAUAGAGGAAGAUAAGUAAAAUCUCCUCCAUAGUUCACUGGUGUUAGGCCUACAUCUUCCUUGCCCUUCUGUCUGAUCUAUACUGCUAUGAGUCAAAGACGACGGACGUCGUCAUGUUGGGCUGUAUGCUAUGAAAAAAUUGAUCCACACAGGUGCAGCUCAAAUUCAUGUGUAUGUGCUAAUUGAUCCUUAUAGGUUAUGUUAGCUAGGUGCAGGAUUUCAUCAUGAAGGAAUUAAAUCUAGCUUGCUUCGUCGUCUUGCUGGUAGUACUACAUAUGCUUGUGGGCCGGUGCCAAAAGAGGUCGCAGGUUCGCGCUUAUCCGCGGGUCAGGUUGACAUUCUAGGGUACAAAAUAAAGGCCAUAGAGCACACUCACUUGAUCAGUGUAUUCAGCAAGACUCCUAGAGUCCCAAUACGCUGGACUACAAGAAGUGCCAACCAUUGGUACCACAAGACAAUGGGUACGAUAACGAAGCAAGAAUCGUCUGUGAAGCAAGCAACAACAUGGUGGAGAAACGAGCUCCUGGAUUUUCUGGCCAAGCACAUCAACUGACUCACCAUCAUACUUCGUCAACCUAACGCAAACCCUCAAUUUCUUAACGUUUGUUAUGUAUUUUUCUAGCAUUAGAUCAAAACCAUGGUC